rnacentral:rRNA from 1 species
AUUGAACGCUGGCGGCAGGCUUAACACAUGCAAGUCGAACGAGUGGCGGACGGGUGAGUAAUGAUUGGGAAUAUAGCUGAUGGAGGGGGAUAAGUACGGGAAACUGUAGCUACUACCGCGUACCAUAGGAUGAGCCCAAGUGGGAUUAGGUAGUUGGUGGGGUAAAGGCUCACCAAGCCGACGAUCUCUAGCUGGUCUGAGAGGAUGACCAGCCACACUGGGACUGAGACACGGCCCAGACUCCUACGGGAGGCAGCAGUGGGGAAUAUUGCGCAAUGGGCGCAAGCCUGACGCAGUCAUGCCGCGUGAAUGAAGAAGGCCUUCGGGUUGUAAAGGACUUUUGUCAGGGAAGCGGUACCUGAAGAAUAAGCACCGGCUAACUACGUGCCAGCAGCCGCGGUAAUUC